UAAAACGGCUCAGCGAAUAAGGGGAGGGCAAGUCUGGUGUCAGCCGCCGCGGUAAUACCAGCUCCUCGAGUGGUCGGGGUGAUUAUUGGGCCUAAAGCAUCCGUAGCCUGUUCUGUAGGUCCUCUGUUAAAUCCAACGGCUUAACCGUUGGCCCGCAGAGGAUACCGCAGGACUAUGAGGCGGGAGAGGUGGACGGUACUCCACGUGUAGGGGUAAAAUCCUUUGAUCCGUGGAAGACCACCAGUGGCGAAAGCGGUCCUCCAGAACGCGCUCGACGGGGAGGGAU
rnacentral:rRNA from 1 species